AGUUUGGACUUGUAGGACAUGGAGAGAGAUAUACUACGUCAUCACUGCCUCUGGCAGAAGAGCUGGAUUGGUCCUCCUCCGUUGGAUGUCUCCCCACCUUUGACCUCCUUCGCCUGGAACUUGACCUCGCGUGAUUCCUCGUCUUCUCCAACUUCCAACCAGUCUAAGUCAGCAAAGAUAAAGAAACAGACUGGAAUGAGUACAUGUACUUCUGAUUCGGGGAUCCGGCGAUGGAAAAGCGUGCCCGAUAACAUAGGACAGCCUGGAGCAGAUGCAGGGAAACCUUUAUCUAUUGCAGAAAUAUUGGACAACAGACGACAGAAUCGAAUGUACAGAAGAAAGCCAUGGACUGAAAAAGUGACCAUCAAGCACAACUCUCCAAAAUAUAUAAAAGAGUUUUACUAUGGCAGCGCUCUUCCGCCCGAUAUAAUUGACGCAAAGCGCAGAACAAGAAAAUACGUCACCAACUCCAAAUAUGGCGAUAUAUACGAAGUCAGAUGUGAAGUCGACUCGAAGAAAAAGAAAGAAAUUAGACCAUUCUCUCGCUGGCUGUGGGAAGAUGAGUUCAAACUUUGGACAACAGAAAACGGCAUUGGCAACCAACACCAUGGGUAUACUUCACUGUUAGAGAGGACCUCCCCCGUCAGGAGUAAGACUCCUACCACUCCUAGUACCGUCCACAACAGCAGGAACAGCCACACUAGCCGCUCCGUCACACCCACGGGGUCACGGGCCCAGACAUCCCCUCGCAAAAAGGCGGCACCUAAUCCUCACCUGUACGCUGAUUACCACUCUCACCGCCUACAACACCGCCGACGUACGGACGCCGCUCGUCUGAUCCAGGCGGUGUUCCGGGGAUGGUACAUCCGGCGCUUCCUGCAGAAUCUGAAGAGAAAGGUACAGCUGGAACACCUGACUUCCUGGGAGAGGUGUGUCAGUGAGUACAAGGACUUGGUACGGCGGGUACAGGAGCGGUAUGGCGUCAGGAGGCCGUCCUGUAGGCUGGACCUGAAGGAGUUCCAGGCCUUCCUCGACAGCAAGCUCAAAUACGAACAGACCUUCAGAAGAUUAGCUUAUGGAGACCGUCUUCUUAAAUCCGACUUACCACGUUUCUUCACCGCCUGUGACCUGCAUCCAACUGAGGGAGAGAUCCAACAAGCUUUCGAAAAAGUUUUCAAAGGUGUAACGUCAUAAUUAUUUCACACUAAAGAUCGUUUUCGUUACACCCAAGAGAGACUAUGUUUCUCAUCAUCAUGAAAGAUAUGUCAGGGAUAAACGCAUAGAUCUUAAUUACAUGUUCUUAAAAGAAAACCAUGGAACUUGGACGAAGUUUGGUAAUGUUUCGUCAAAAAUAUUGAUUGGCCAGGGUCUGUCAGAGAGGUCGAUUAGUCAAGGUCCAUCCCAUAGGUCUAUUUUGUUAAGGAUUUUUAUCAAGGAUGAUUCGCUCAGGAUCCACAUUCAAAGUCGAUUUUGUGAAAUUUUGUCAUAUUGGUCGAUUUGGUAAGUGUUUCGUCACAAAGAUCGAUGCGCUUAGGAUCAAUAUUAAGAGACAACCUGAUAAAGGCCCAAUGCAUUGGUCGAUUUGAUAAGUGACCGUCUCAAAGAUCGAUUCGAUCAGGGUCCGUAUUAAAUGUAAGUUUGGUUAAAGCCAAUCACAUGGGCCAAUUCGGUCAGGGUCCCACAUAAAGGACGAUUUGGUUUAAGUCUGUAAAACAAAAGUCAAUUUGAUUAGGGUAUAAUACAAAAGUCGAAUGAAUGGGUUAAGGUCUGUCACAAAGGUCGAUUUGGUUUGAUUCUGCGUUUAAGGUUUAUUUUUCAGGAUCCGCCACAAAAGUCGACUUGGUAAAAGCCCGUACUAAAUGUUGAUUUGGCCAUGUUCCGUCACAAAGAUUUGGUGGAAACAAUACGGCGGAAGUUAUAUUUCUGCUGGACUGUUCGACGAGUGUUACCCCGAUGUGCUUUCACGACUUGACCCAGUUUGUGAAGAGUGUGGUCGAGUCGUUUACCAUUGGUCCCGACAACAUCCGGGUGGGCGUGGUUCCCUUCAGUGAUGAUGUAUAUCAAACAUUUGGUAUCAACAGGUACAAUAUGACGUACCAGAUUUGUGCGGCAAUCGACAACAUUGGCCACAAAGAGGGUUUAACCAGGACAGACCUCGCUCUGAAAGAAACGAAAAAGCUGUUCAUGUGUUCCAGACCGGGGGUCCAGAAGAUCGCCAUUAUCAUCACAGACGGCAAGUCCACGUGCCCUGAGAGAACCCUGCAGAAUGCGCGUGACGUCAAAAAGGACAAUGUCAACGUCAUCACUAUUGGUGUGGGUAGUCAUGUGGACCUUGAAGAACUCAAACACAUUGCGUCAUCAGAGAGAAACGUGUUCAGCGUUUACGAUUACAGCUCUCUACACAAACUCCGUGACGUCAUCUCAAGGAGAACGUGUGUAGCUGCCUGCGUGUUGUGUCAGACCAUUCUUCCCCGUAUCCGGGAUCAUGGAUUGUACCUCCGUGAGGUUCUGGAACUAGUUUGGACUCUCUACAUGCCGAUUGGCUGCGAGAUUUCAUGGUACACAGAGAUUGACUACGAUGAUAAAGUGAAGAAGUCAACAGACAUUAACACAUGUCUAAGGCUGGUGAUUCAGGCCAAGAUAGAACGGGAGGGGUUUAUAACCCUGCCCUCAGACGUCCGUGAGGGGGUGGAGGAGGUGUCUGACCCAGAUCUAGCCCUAGAGAAGGUCCACAAGUGGAUCGAAGAUAAAAAGAGAGCAGGAGAGACAUUCCAGGGUUUCAGUUAACAACCCAAUCACAGAGUGUGAUCGAUAGCCAAUGUUACAAACGAGAAUUCUAUAUGAAAAUACUUUUAAUGUAAUCUUUGUACAACAAAUUCAUUUUUAUAUACAUAAAGCACAGAGCAUACAGGCUGAAUACAUCACACUGGUACAAGUCGUUGUUGAUCUGUCUGUCACACUGGUACAAGUCGUUGUUGAUCUGUCUGUCACACUGGUACAAGUCGUUGUUGAUCUGUCUGUCACACUGGUACAAGUCGUUGUUGAUCUGUCUGUACUUGGUUAGGAGAACACAGCAUAGUGGUGGCUUCCUGUCACUGUAUAUCCACAUUGUUUUUUUUUAAGGGAUCCAAACACAAAAUCUAUUCAUUUUAGAAAUAACUUAUUUCUCCAUUGAGUUUCUUCCCUAGUAUAUGUGUACCGAGAUCAGAUUUGGACCCUGAUUCUUCAUCCUCCUCAUCACUUUAACACAGCGGACACGAACUCUUGGACGAAUUUAAAGAACUCCAUUUCUGGGGCAGACAUCAGGGCUGUCUGUGACAGAGACCGCCCCAGAACAUUGGGAGUGCCGCUGAUCUUGGGGCUGGGCUGGCGAUGGGCAGAGCUGGGGGAGGGGGAUGUUGGGGCCCCUCGCUUCAAGUAUCUCUGGAGCUCCAUCAGGAAGUAGUUCUACAGAGAUAAACAGUCACUGUUAGCACCCUGCUACCCUGGGCUCCACAAUUAUUUGUUAUAUUGUUAUCAAAAGUUUAAUGUUUCUACAUCAUAUCAAAUGUACAUGUUGACAUAUUAGAAUGUUAGAUUUUUUGCAUUUUUCUGUCAUUAAUUAAAAAAGCUUCAUG
rnacentral:misc_RNA from 1 species